rnacentral:rRNA from 1 species
UACGAAGGGGGCUAGCGUUGCUCGGAAUCACUGGGCGUAAAGGGUGCGUAGGCGGGUCUUUUAAGUCAGGGGUGAAAUCCUGGAGCUCAACGUCCAGAACUGCCUUUGAUACUGGCGACCUUGAGUCCGGGAGAGGUGAGUGGAACUGCGAGUGUAGAGGUGAAAUUCGUAGAUAUUCGCAAGAACACCAGUGGCGAAGGCGGCUCACUGGCCCGGUACUGACGCUGAGGUGCGAAAGCG